rnacentral:rRNA from 1 species
AUUGAACGCUGGCGGCAGGCUUAACACAUGCAAGUCGAGCGGAGUGAUGGUGCUUGCACUAUCACUUAGCGGCGGACGGGUGAGUAAUGCUUAGGAAUCUGCCUAUUAGUGGGGGACAACAUCUCGAAAGGGAUGCUAAUACCGCAUACGUCCUACGGGAGAAAGCAGGGGAUCACUUGUGACCUUGCGCUAAUAGAUGAGCCUAAGUCGGAUUAGCUAGUUGGUGGGGUAAAGGCCUACCAAGGCGACGAUCUGUAGCGGGUCUGAGAGGAUGAUCCGCCACACUGGGACUGAAACACGGCCCAGACUCCUACGGGAGGCAGCAGUGGGGAAUAUUGGACAAUGGGGAGAACCCUGAUCCAGCCAUGCCGCGUGUGUGAAGAAGGCCUUAUGGUUGUAAAGCACUUUAAGCGAGGAGGAGGCUCUUUUGGUUAAUACCCAAGAUGAGUGGACGUUACUCGCAGAAUAAGCACCGGCUAACUCUGUGCCAGCCGCCGCCGUAA